CCUACGGGCGGCAGCAGUGAGGAAUAUUGGUCAAUGGGCGCAAGUCUGAACCAGCCAUGCCGCGUGCAGGAAGACGGCUCUAUGAGUUGUAAACUUCUUUUGUACAGGGGUAAACUCAGAUACGCGUGUCUUUCUGUAAGUAUCUUACGAAUAAGGAUCGGCUAACUCCGUGCCAGCAGCCGCGGUAAUACGGAGGAUUCAAGCGUUAUCCGGAUUUAUUGGGUUUAAAGGGUGCGUAGGUGGUCUGAUAAGUUAGUUGUGAAAUCUCGCGGCUCAACUGUGAAAUUGCCUUUGAUACUGGUAGGCUAGAGUGUAGUUGCGGUAGGCGGAAUGUAUGGUGUAGCGGUGAAAUGCUUAGAGAUCAUAAAGAACACCGAUUGCGAAGGCAGCUUACCAAGCUACUUCUGACGUUGAGGCACGAAAGUGUGGGGAGCAAACAGGAUUAGAUACCCUUGUAGUC
rnacentral:rRNA from 1 species